rnacentral:rRNA from 1 species
AGAGUUUGAUCCUGGCUCAGGAUAAACGCUGGCGGCGCACAUAAGACAUGCAAGUCGAACGGAAGUCGUUAUAAAAUGGAAUGAAGAUUUAUCAGAGUGAAGUUUUAUAGCAAAGGCUUUAGUGGCGGACUGGUGAGUAAUACGUAAGCAACCUGCCUAAUAGAGGGGAACAACAGUUAGAAAUGACUGCUAAUACCGCAUAUGCCAUAUAUAUCACAUGAUAGAAGUGGAAAGGAGUAAUCUGCUAUUAGAUGGGCUUACGGCUGAUUAGCUAGUUGGUAGGGUAAAGGCCUACCGAGGCGACGAUCAGUAGCCGGACUGAGAGGUUGGACGGCCACAUUGGGACUGAGAUACGGCCCAGACUCCUACGGGAGGCAGCAGUCGGGAAUUUUGCGCAAUGGAGGGAACUCUGACGCAGUGACGCCGCGUGCAGGAAGAAGGUUUUCGGAUUGUAGACUGCUUUAGACAGGGAAGAGAAAGGACAGUACCUGUAGAAUAAGCUCCGGCUAACUACGUGCCAGCAGCCGCGGUAAUACGUAGGGAGCGAGCGUUAUCCGGAUUUAUUGGGUGUAAAGGGUGCGUAGACGGGGGAAUAAGUUAGUUGUGAAAUCCCUUGGCUCAACUGAGGAGCUGCAACUAAAACUGUUUUUCUUGAGUACUGGAGAGGAAAGUGGAAUUCCUAGUGUAGCGGUGAAAUGCGUAGAUAUUAGGAGGAACACCAGUGGCGAAAGCGACUUUCUGGACAGAGACUGACGUUGAGGCACGAAAGUGUGGGGAGCAAACAGGAUUAGAUACCCUGG